rnacentral:pre_miRNA from 1 species
AUUAUACUCCCUCCGUCCCAAAAUUAUUGUCUUAGAUUUGUCUAAAUACGAAUGUAUCAAGUCACGUUUUAGUAUUAGAUACAUCCGUAUCUAGACGAAUCUAAGACAAUAAUUUUGGGACGGAGGGAGUAUUUG